rnacentral:rRNA from 1 species
UGAAUACGAGACGCUAAGGCGUCGAAGUAGUGUAUGUCAUACUUCCAAGAAAAGCUUGCACUGUCAUAGAUAAAAAACGCCUGUACCAUAACCGACACAGGUGGGUAGGUAGAGUAUACUAGGGGCGCGAGAUAACUCUCUCUAAGGAACUCGGCAAAAUAACUCCGUAACUUCGGGAGAAGGAGUGCCUUAUUCGUAAGGUUGCAAUAACAAGAUCCAAGCAACUGUUUAUCAAAAACACAGGUCUCCGCUAAGUCGUAAGACGAUGUAUGGGGGCUGACGCCUGCCCAGUGCCAGAAGGUUAAAGAAGUUGGUUAGCAAUUGCGAAGCUGAUAACUGAAGCCCUGGUGAACGGCGGCCGUAACCAUAACGGUCCUAAGGUAGCGAAAUUCCUUGUCGGGUAAGUUCCGACCCGCACGAAAGGCGUAAUGAUUUGGAUACUGUCUCGGAGAGGGGCUCGGUGAAAUAGACUUGUCUGUGAAGAUGCGGACUACCUGCACCAGGACAGAAAGACCCUAUGAAGCUUUACUGUAACUUGAAAUUGAAAUUGGACUUUAUUCGCGCAGUAUAGGUGGGAGGCGUUGAUUAUAAUCUUGUGGGAUUAUUGGAGCCAUCAGUGAGAUACCACUCUUAUAAUGUUAGAUUUCUAACUUUGAAUCAUUAUCUGGUCAAAGAACAGUUUCAGGCGGGCAGUUUGACUGGGGCGGUCGCCUCCUAAACGGUAACGGAGGCGUACAAAGGUUUCCUCUGAACGGUUAGAAAUCGUAUCUAGAGUGUAAAGGCAUAAGGAAGCUUGACUGUGAGACCUACAAGUCGACAGGGACGAAAGUCGGUCUUAGUGAUCUGACGGUACUGAGUGGAAAGGCCGUCACUCAACGGGUAAAAGUUACUCUAGGAUAACAGGCUGAUCUCCCCCAAGAGUUCACAUCGACGGGGAGGUUUGGCACCUCGAUGUCGGCUCAUCGCAUCCUGGGGCGGUAGUACGUCCCAAGGGUUGGGCUGUUCGCCCAUGAAAGCGGUACGCGAGCUGGGUUCAGAACGUCGUGAGACAGUUCGGUCCAUAUCCGGUGUAGGCGUUAGAAUAUUGAGAGGAGCCUUCUUUAGUACGAGAGGACCGAGAAGGACAUACCUCUGGUGUACCAGUUAUCGUGCCAACGGUAAACGCUGGGUAGCUAUGUAUGGAGUGGAUAACCGCUGAAAGCAUCUAAGUGGGAAGCCCACCUCAAGAUAAGUAUUCUCAUC